rnacentral:lncRNA from 1 species
AAAAAAGAGCAGGAAGGCAGGGCAGGGAAGCGGAGAGACUGCGGGGGCUGGAGGCAGUUUGUGGGAGGAAGUCGGACGGGCAAGGUGGGCCUCAUUCAGGAUUCGGGCUUUGAGUGGGGUUGAAGCAGGCCACAGAGGAAGCAGAUGUUUGGGAAUGGACAUUCCAGGUGGAAGAGCAGCCCGGGCAAAGGUUCUCAGACAGCAAAGGAGUGAGUGUGUGCCUGGGGUGUGUGUGUGUGUGUGCGUGUGUGCGCGCAGCCUAGGUGACUGGUUUAGCUGGAGCAGAGGAAGCCACGGGGAGGGCAGUCAUGGAGGCCCAGCGAGGGUGCUGCGAGCCCUGUGAAGGCUUUGGUUUCCGUCUGAGGGACAGUGGAGUCGCGGUGGGGGUUUGAGCAGAGCAGAGGCAGAGCUGACUCCUGCUGUCCCGGGCUCUCGCUGGCUGCUCGAGGGAGCCCAGGGGAAGUGUCCAGGCUGAGAGCAGAGAGAGGAACAGAGAGUCUGCUGCAGCGCUGCAGGCCGGGACGGUGGGAGCUUGGGUCACAGCCGGGAAGCUGCCUUUCCCUUCACAGCUCGUCUCUGUGCACCUGCUUCUCUAACGUCGCCUCACAUCUUCCAGGAGCGUUUACGCCGUCUCCAGCGUUUGGUUCCUCAUGCUCGAGAAAACGGAAAGAAACUCAACAACAUUGGCUGAUGUGGCUGCAGAAUUCCCUGCUGGCUGAGGGCCCCAGAAAGCUGUGCACCCAGAAUACAACAUCCUUUGUUUUUAAGCAUCUGCAUCCUUCCUUCAAGCAGCCUGUCAGCGAGGCAAUCAUGUCCCCCCUCUUACGGAGCGCAGGAAUUGAAGCACAAUUUGGCCUCUUUGUCAUUUUCAAAAAUCAAAUCUUCCUAGGGACCAAGUUCCAGCAGCAGCUGUUUUUGCUUUAUGUUUUAUUUAAAGACAUUUAA